rnacentral:tRNA from 1 species
GCGCAGCUGGUGGAAUUGGUAGACACGCAACCUUGAGGUGGUUGUGCCGAAAGGCGUGGGGGUUCGAGUCCCCCGCUGCGCA